CUCUCUCUCUCUCCAAACUUGAUUUUCUCCCUCCCUCCUUUCCUUUCGUUAUUUUCUUUGAGAUGUGGACUCUGGUCCAGGCUUAUCUCAAACUAGCCCAGGAUUACAGGCACAAACCAUCAGACCUAGUUUAUGCAGAACUGGAGAUCAAACCCAGGGAUUCGUGUAGCUAGGCAAGCACUCUGCCGACUGAGUCACACCUUUAUCUCCCAAGUUUCAUGCUCUGAGUGGCUAUCAUGCUGAUAUCUGGGUGACUAGAGGCCCUACCUUAGGGACCCCAUGCCCCCAGCCUUUAUCCUUGUUUCCUACAGGUGAGCCUCAGGGACUGUCACAACGUGUCUGUGUUCCUGGCUCCCAGUGUGGUAGGUCGUGGGUCUGCUGUCCUGCUGGGAGAUCAGGGCCACAGUCUUGGCUCUUGGAUACUCUCAGGCCUGGAAUAUGUUCUGGGCCCAGUUGGAUGGCACAGCUUUUUCUUACCUGUUCCUGUGCCCUCCUCCCUCCUUUUCUUUCCUACAGCUCCCUCUGCUGGAGGACAAGCUGCAAGUGGAGCUUCCUGCAGGGGCCCGUGUGGUGUCUGGACGGUUCCCCUUUCCCACAUGGAAGCCUGUAGCCGUGGUGGGCGAGGGCACCGACAGAGUUUGGGCCUAUGAUGUCCACGGUGCUGGGCCAGCUGUGUCUUCCAGUGGGGUGCCCAUCAAGGCCAUCCCAGAGUCCAGUUCUACCUAGAUCCCUAGGGCCCCUGCUUGACAAGCUGGCUGAUUGGAUAAAAUAAAGACUCUGUGGGUUCA
rnacentral:lncRNA from 1 species